rnacentral:rRNA from 1 species
UUAAGUUAAUAAGGGCGCACGGUGGAUGCCUUGGCACUAGAAGCCGAUGAAGGACGUGACUAACGACGAAAUGCUUUGGGGAGCUGUAAGUGAGCAAUGAUCCAGAGAUGUCCGAAUGGGGGAACCCGGCAGGUAAUGCCUGUCACUCAUUACUGUUAAGGUAAUGUAGAGGAAGACGCAGUGAACUGAAACAUCUAAGUAGCUGUAGGAAGAGAAAGCAAAAGCGAUUGCCUUAGUAGCGGCGAGCGAAACGGCAAGAGGGCAAACCGAAGAGUUUACUCUUCGGGGUUGUAGGACUGCAACGUGGACUUAAAGAUUAUAGAAGAACUACCUGGGAAGGUAGGCCAAAGAGAGUAAUAGCCUCGUAUUCGAAAUAGUCUUUAUACCUAGCAGUAUCCUGAGUACGGCGAGACACGAGAAAUCUCGUCGGAAUCUGGGAGGACCAUCUCCCAACCCUAAAUACUCUCUAGUGACCGAUAGUGAACCAGUACCGUGAGGGAAAGGUGAAAAGCACCCCGGGAGGGGAGUGAAAUAGAACCUGAAACCGUGUGCCUACAACAAGUUCGAGCCCGUUAAUGGGUGAGAGCGUGCCUUUUGUAGAAUGAACCGGCGAGUUACGAUAUGAUGCGAGGUUAAGUUGAAGAGACGGAGCCGUAGGGAAACCGAGUCUUAAUAGGGCGCAUUAGUAUCAUGUCGUAGACCCGAAACCAUGUGACCUACCCAUGAGCAGGUUGAAGGUGAGGUAAAACUCACUGGAGGACCGAACCAGGGCACGUUGAAAAGUGCUUGGAUGACUUGUGGGUAGCGGAGAAAUUCCAAACGAACUUGGAGAUAGCUGGUUCUCUCCGAAAUAGCUUUAGGGCUAGCGUCGAUGUUAAGUCUCUUGGAGGUAGAGCACUGUUUGGGUGAGGGGUCCAUCCCGGAUUACCAAUCUCAGAUAAACUCCGAAUGCCAAUGAGAUAUAAUCGGCAGUCAGACUGCGAGUGCUAAGAUCCGUAGUCGAAAGGGAAACAGCCCAGACCACCAGCUAAGGUCCCAAAAUAUAUGUUAAGUGGAAAAGGAUGUGGGGUUGCACAGACAACUAGGAUGUUAGCUUAGAAGCAGCUAUUCAUUCAAAGAGUGCGUAAUAGCUCACUAGUCGAGUGACCCUGCGCCGAAAAUGUACCGGGGCUAAAACAUAUUACCGAAGCUGUGGAUACCUUUAUAGGUAUGGUAGGAGAGCGUUCUAUGUGCGAAGAAGGUGUACCGUGAGGAGUGCUGGAGCGCAUAGAAGUGAGAAUGCCGGUAUGAGUAGCGAAAGACAGGUGAGAAUCCUGUCCACCGUAAGACUAAGGUUUCCAGGGGAAGGCUCGUCCGCCCUGGGUUAGUCGGGACCUAAGGAGAGACCGAAAGGUGUAUCCGAUGGACAACAGGUUGAUAUUCCUGUACUAGAGUAUAUAGUGAUGGAGGGACGCAGUAGGCUAACUAAACCAGACGAUUGGAAGUGUCUGGCCAAGCAGUGAGGUGUGAUAUGAGUCAAAUGCUUAUAUCUUUAACAUUGAGCUGUGAUGGGGAGCGAAGUUUAGUAGCGAAGUUAGUGAUGUCACACUGCCGAGAAAAGCUUCUAGCGUUAAUUAUACUCUACCCGUACCGCAAACCGACACAGGUAGUCGAGGCGAGUAGCCUCAGGUGAGCGAGAGAACUCUCGUUAAGGAACUCGGCAAAAUGGCCCCGUAACUUCGGGAGAAGGGGCGCUGACUGAUGGUCAGCCGCAGUGAAUAGGCCCAAGCAACUGUUUAUCAAAAACACAGCUCUCUGCUAAAUCGUAAGAUGAUGUAUAGGGGGUGACGCCUGCCCGGUGCUGGAAGGUUAAGAGGAGUGCUUAGCGUAAGCGAAGGCAUGAAUUGAAGCCCCAGUAAACGGCGGCCGUAACUAUAACGGUCCUAAGGUAGCGAAAUUCCUUGUCGGGUAAGUUCCGACCCGCACGAAAGGCGUAAUGAUUUGGGCACUGUCUCAACGAGAGACUCGGUGAAAUUUUAGUACCUGUGAAGAUGCAGGUUACCCGCGACAGGACGGAAAGACCCCAUGGAGCUUUACUGCAGUUUGAUAUUGAGUAUCUGUACCACAUGUACAGGAUAGGUAGGAGCCUAUGACCUCGGGACGCCAGUUUCGAGUGAGGCGUUGUUGGGAUACUACCCUUGUGUUAUGGCUACUCUAACCCAGAUAGGUUAUCCCUAUCGGAGACAGUGUCUGACGGGCAGUUUGACUGGGGCGGUCGCCUCCUAAAAGGUAACGGAGGCGCCCAAAGGUUCCCUCAGAAUGGUUGGAAAUCAUUCGCAGAGUGUAAAGGUAUAAGGGAGCUUGACUGCGAGAGCUACAACUCGAGCAGGGACGAAAGUCGGGCUUAGUGAUCCGGUGGUUCCGUAUGGAAGGGCCAUCGCUCAACGGAUAAAAGCUACCCUGGGGAUAACAGGCUUAUCUCCCCCAAGAGUUCACAUCGACGGGGAGGUU